UACGUAGGGUGCGAGCGUUGUCCGGAAUUAUUGGGCGUAAAGAGCUCGUAGGCGGUGUGUCACGUCGGCCGUGAAAACCUGCAGCUUAACUGUGGGCGUGCGGUCGAUACGGGCAUCACUGGAGUUCGGCAGGGGAGACUGGAAUUCCUGGUGUAGCGGUGGAAUGCGCAGAUAUCAGGAGGAACACCGGUGGCGAAGGCGGGAUCCUGGGCCAGUACUGACGCUGAGGAGCGAAAGCGUGGGGAGCAAACAGG
rnacentral:rRNA from 1 species